CCUUGUACACACCGCCCGUCACACCACGAGAGUUUGUAACACCCGAAGUCGGUGAGGUAACCUUUUGGAGCCAGCCGCCGAAGGUGGGACAGAUGAUUGGGGUGAAGUCGUAACAAGGUAGCCGUAUCGGAAGGUGCGGCUGGAUCACCUCCUUUCUAAGGA
rnacentral:rRNA from 1 species